rnacentral:rRNA from 1 species
CCUACGGGUGGCAGCAGUGGGGGAUAUUGCACAAUGGGGGAAACCCUGAUGCAGCGACGCCGCGUGAGUGAAGAAGUAUUUCGGUAUGUAAAGCUCUAUCAGCAGGGAAGAAAAAAGACGGUACCUGACUAAGAAGCCCCGGCUAACUACGUGCCAGCAGCCGCGGUAAUACGUAGGGGGCAAGCGUUAUCCGGAUUUACUGGGUGUAAAGGGAGCGUAGACGGCAAUACAAGUCGGAAGUGAAAUACCCGGGCUUAACCUGGGAACUGCUUUGGAAACUGUAUGGCUGGAGUGCUGGAGAGGUAAGCGGAAUUCCUAGUGUAGCGGUGAAAUGCGUAGAUAUUAGGAGGAACACCAGUGGCGAAGGCGGCUUACUGGACAGUAACUGACGUUGAGGCUCGAAAGCGUGGGGAGCAAACAGGAUUAGAUAC